GACGAACGCUGGCGGCGUGCUUAACACAUGCAAGUCGUACGGUAAGGCCCUUUCGGGGGUACACGAGUGGCGAACGGGUGAGUAACACGUGAGUAACCUGCCCACAACUUUGGGAUAACGCUAGGAAACUGGUGCUAAUACUGGAUAUGUGCUCCUGCUGCAUGGUGGGGGUUGGUAAGCUCCGUCGGUUGUGGAUGGACGCGCGGCCUAUUGGCUUGUUGGUGGGGUUGUGGCCUACCAAGGCGGCGACGGGUAGCCGGCCUGAGAGGGUGACCGGCCACAUGGAGACUGAGAUACGGACCAGACUCCUACGGGAGGCAGCAGUGGGGAAUAUUGCACAAUGGGCGCAAGCCUGAUGCAGCAACGCCGCGUGCGGGAUAACGGCCUUCGGGUUGUAAACCGCUUUCAGCAGGGACGAAGCUUUUUGUGACGGUACCUGCAGAAGAAGCACCGGCUAACUACGUG
rnacentral:rRNA from 1 species